AUCGCUUCUCGGCCUUUUGGCUAAGAUCAAGUGUAGUAUCUGUUCUUAUCAGUUUAAUAUCUGAUACGCCCCCUAUCUGGGGGCCAUAUAUUAAAUGGAUUUUUAGAACAGGGAGAUGGAAGAAGAGCUUGCUCUGUCCACUCCACGCAUUGACCUGGUAUUGCAGUACCUCCAGGACCGGUGCACAAUAA
rnacentral:snRNA from 1 species